rnacentral:rRNA from 1 species
AACGAACGCUGGCGGCAGGCCUAACACAUGCAAGUCGAACGCCCUAGCAAUAGGGAGUGGCGCACGGGUGCGUAACGCGUGGGAAUAUGCCCUUCACUGCGGAAUAACGUUUGGAAACGAACGCUAAUACCGCAUAAUGACUCCGGUCCAAAGAUUUAUCGGUGAAGGAUUAGCCCGCGUUAGAUUAGCUAGUUGGUGAGGUAAUGGCUCACCAAGGCGACGAUCUAUAGCUGGUCUGAGAGGAUGAUCAGCCACACUGGGACUGAGACACGGCCCAGACUCCUACGGGAGGCAGCAGUGAGGAAUAUUGGACAAUGGGCGCAAGCCUGAUCCAGCCAUGCCGCGUGAGUGAAGAAGGCCUUCGGGUUGUAAAGCUCUUUCAGAUGUGAAGAUAAUGACGGUAGCAUCAGAAGAAGACCCCGGCCUAAAUUCGUAGCCAGCAGCCGCGGUAAU